rnacentral:rRNA from 1 species
UACGAAGGGGGCUAGCGUUGCUCGGAAUUACUGGGCGUAAAGCGCACGUAGGCGGUCUUUUAAGUCGGGGGUGAAAUCCUGGAGCUCAACUCCAGAACUGCCUCGAUACUGGAAGACUCGAGUCCGGGAGAGGUGAGUGGAACUGCGAGUGUAGAGGUGAAAUUCGUAAGAUAUUCGCAAGAACACCAGUGGCGAAGGCGGCUCACUGGCCCGGUACUGACGCUGA